AUGCCAAUAGUCCUCGCCAUCUUUCUUCCGCGUGUGUGUGAUUUUCAUUGCCGAAAUAAAAAAUUAGUUUUUAGUGUAAUCCUUUGAUAAAAUAACCCAAAAAGUCUUGAAAUAUACAGAUGAUCGUGCAGACUAAUUACGCCUGCGGCACCUUGGGUUUGGCUAAUAAGAACGAACAAGUGAGCUGCAACACCACACGGCUGUUGUGUGUGUGGACAGGACAAUACUACUGCUGCUGCAGCACCACUUCACUACCUGUUACGCCUGCGGCACCUUGGGUUUGGCUAAUAAGAACGAACAAGUGAGCUGCAACACUACACGGCUGUUGUGUGUGUGGACGGGACAAUACUACUGCUGCUGCAGCGCCACUUCACUACCUGUUUCGCCUGCGGCACCUUGGGUAUGUGGAUCUUUUGGCUAAUAAGCAAGAGCAAGUGAGUAAGCUGCGGACACCAGACAGCUGUUGCGUGUGCUCCUGUGGACGCGACGAGACUGCUGCUGCUGUAGCAGCACUUCAUUACAGGAUAAUUGAAUACGUGCGAUGAUAAUUUCAUUUUCCGCUUUAUAAACACAACUUCUGCUGCCCCUCCCCUCCCGCUCUUUUGACGUGGCAAUUAGUGAGCGCCCACAAGCCAAUAUGGGCGGGGGCGGGUGGUCUGCAACCUAAUUAUCCGCCUGGACGAACGUGGUCUGUGUUCCAUACAUAUAAAUAUACAUACGAAUACGACAUACGUAUUUAAAUUGUGCAUAACUUAAGAACAGGGCACAGAUCAUAAAAUAUCGAUUGCCGUCAGCCUACGCAAAAAAAUCUGCUAAUAAAGAUCCCAAAAUGAAAAUAAAUGUAUAAAAAGAAGAUAACGAACGAUUACAGAGCACAUAUAAUGCACAAACCUCAAAUGGACUUCCUCAAUACAAGUGUGCUGGAUAAAAAGGGAUUUGUGGCAUGGAUGCAAUACUUCAUAUCUCGGCCUGGCAUUCAUCACAUUUUGCUCUCAUGUAAGUCCAACGG